CAGGGUAAAUGUGGUUUCAAACAGACUCGAACUCUCUUUGCCAGGCUGAGUAUCUCUGAGCCAGAUUCUUUGCGGAGGGCUUGGUGUGAGUUAGCACAUCCAGAAAGUCAGCAGUGGUUAUUGUAUCCAACUGGAUCCCCGGUAAGUCGCUGCUUUCUAGGAUAAGAACACAACAGUAACAGCACAACAAUCGACCUCUUGGUGAUCAAUGCUCUUGAAACGCUAAUAGACCUUCUUUCAAGACAAUGCAUAAUGCAGCGUUCUUAAUUGUUAAUGCAGCAAAAGGCAAGACUAAGGAGGGCUGGGGAAAAAUUCUUUAAUGUGCAACUGAGUUAGCCCCUAAGGCCUAGACAAAAAAAAUGUGACUUAAAUGUAUUGUUACCAAGUAUUAUUUAAUAUUUAUAUAGUGCCUCAAAUGGAUCCAGCCCAACAUCAGAGUGUGCCAGAGAAAUAAGAGCCUGAGCCCUAAGGAGUUUAUCUUCUGCGAGCAAAGUCGAUCUGAAUCAGAACACCCACAGAGGAAUGAGUUGAGUGAGGGAUGAUUUGACCAAAAAACGUGUUGCAAGUGUAAAGCGGCACCAAGAACAGGCACCAGGCUCCAUCUGCUGAUGAAGAAACUGAGGCUUAAAGAGUAAAUGCCUUCCCUGAGGUCACACAGCUAACAAGCAGCAGGGCCAGGAUUUGACGGAUCCGCACAUCUGUGUGUCUCACUGUCAGUGUGGUGUUUGAUUUUCUGGUGGCCAUGGAACUCUCCAUUGUAAAGAAAAACAUCUUUUCUCAGCAAGUCAAAACCACCAGCAAGUGUGAAGUGCAGUGAAAACUCACAGACCUCAGAGUCUGGUCCACUGGACCCAGGCCCACUGCUGGAUAAAAGGUGCAGCACCCACUGGCCACUUCCAUGAUUUACAUCGAGCUCCAAGGCCUUGCGCCCGAUCACCUGAGCACCUGUGCCAACCCUCAGGAGUAAGAACAACCCCACUACCAUGAGGAUACAACGAGCCUAAUCCAGAAAGUGUGGACAUCCUGCAAGACAAUCCCUCUGGCAGGCAAUAAGUCAAUGGCAAGUGGAGGAAAAGAAAGGAAAAAAAAAAAAAGAGACUGAGGCGGGUGGAUGUUCUGAUUUGAGGUCAGAAGUUCGAGACUAGCCUGGC